rnacentral:rRNA from 1 species
AUUGAACGCUGGCGGCAGGCCUAACACAUGCAAGUCGAACGAGUGGCGGACGGGUGAGUAAUGUCUGGGAAACUGCCUGAUGGAGGGGGAUAACUACUGGAAACGGUAGCUAAUACCGCAUACCAUCAGAUGUGCCCAGAGGGGAUUAGCUUGUUGGUGGGGUAACGGCUCACCAAGGCGACGAUCCCUAGCUGGUCUGAGAGGAUGACCAGCCCCACUGGAACUGAGACACGGCCCAGUCUACUACGCGAGGCAGCAUUGGGGAAUAGUGCACAAUGGGCGCAAGCCUGAUGCAGCCAUGCCGCGUGUAUGAAGAAGGCCUUCGGGUUGUAAAGUACUAUCAGCGGGGAGGCGUUACCAGCAGAAGAAGCACCGGCUAACUCCGUGCCAGCAGCCGCGGUAAUAC